rnacentral:lncRNA from 1 species
UUUAUUAUUUCCUUCUCCCUUCUUUUUCCUUCUCUUUCUAAAUUCCGAUAUUUAAAAUGAUAGAAAAAUUGUCGAAUAAACCAUUAUAAGAAAGACGAGUGCAACAGGAAAAACGGACAUAUGUCAACAAAUUAAGCAAACUAAAUAUCUUUUAGAGUCAAAUAGACAUAACAUUAAUAUAUGAAUGUUCAUACAUCCAAAAGUUACCCCACCUCCUAAUUUUUUAAUGAUAGAGUUCAAUACAAUUAGAACUUAGAAUACAAAAAAACCCUAUCUACUCUUCAUAAUAAUGGGAAAAAAUGGCCAAACAAGAUUCAAGGAUAUCGUGGCUGCCCAAUGUAGCUGAAACUCAUAUCUCGAAUCAGGGAGUGAUCUAAACUCAUUGAGUGAACUAAAAAUAUGUGGAAAUCAAUCGUGUAAAAUAAAGCAUCAAAAGUGAAUGCCAAACCAGUACACACGGACCAUACAAAUUUUAUGCACAAAAGCCCAGCAAUCCCAAAACAGAAAAAGAUCACAGCCCAAACAUAAGAAACUAUUUCAAGCUAUAAGGCUGAACUCCACCACAAAUCCACAAAAGACUCAACUGAAUCCAAAUAUGAUUCAUUUAUCCCGAAAUAGGAGGCUCAAGAAUAAUGAACUAAUAUGCUCAGAAUAUUAUAUCAAUGUUCCAUUUACUUAUCAGAAACACUUAAAUGAGUUAAUAACCAAUUUCUUAAAACUAAAAGUCAUACAACAUACCUUAUGUUUUUUUUUGCUAAGUUUGUUUGUAUAUUGGAAAGGAAAAGAGAUAAUACAAUUGCUAAGGGCAUACCCCAGAAGCUUUGGUAGAACCACAUGGGACAACCCCCAAAGUGGACAACAAAGACUAACAACCAAGCCAAAUGAAAGAAAGAACAAGGAGCAGUACUAAGCAGGACAAUAGUAAAAACAAGCAUGGGAACUUAAACAACUUAAACAGCCAAUCCGUUAAAACCAGGCAGCCAAAAGAAUGUAGCCGAAGACCGAUGCUGAGGCAUAGGAAGAACUACGAGUGCCAAUAGGAUAUCCAACCCUGAAGCCGGAACCAGCAUCCCCCAGCAUCCCGAAGACAAGAGGCGGAACCCCGAAGGGCCGAACCAUAAGAACCGAACCCCGAAGCCGAAACCAGCAUCCCCAGCGUCCCGAAGACAAGAUUUUGAACCACGAAACCGAACCAGGAUGUCAGUACUGGCCAAGAAGCCGAACCCAGUACCGGACUGAAAAUGCUAUGGAAUUCAUAACGAACAGAAGCAAUAGUUGAACCAAACCGCUGAGGAAGCCGAACUGCCACGGAAGCCGAACUGCCGAAGUGCCAUGGAAGCUAAAUUUCCAACCCAACCCCGAAGCCGAAACCAGCGUCCCCCAGCAUCCCGAAGACAAGGGGCUGAACCCCGAAGGGCCGGACCAUAUAAACCGAACCCCGAAGCCGAAACCAGCAUCCCCAGCGUCCCGACGACAAGAUGCCGAACCCCGAACCGAACCAGGAUGCUAAGCCCAGGUGUCUUCCCAGUCCUUUACUAGCCAAGAAGCCGAACCCAGUAACAGACUGAAACGCAUGGUAGCAACACAGCAACAGCCAACACAGCAGACCCAAGUCCGUUAAGCCAAACCAGUCACAACACCUGACACGCAUUAGACCGUUGUCCUAAGCCAAUUACAGUAGUAUUGGCAAUAGUUGGUAGCUUUGAGAAAGGAUGAAUUAGUAGAUAAUCUAGAUUUAAUGAUACUAAUCACAUCAGUAGCAAGACAUCUUGGAGGAAUGAGUGUCCCAUUGUGAAGCUUUUUGUUUCUUGCUUCCCAUAUCUUAUAGAAAGAAACAGUCAGAGAGAGGCUGAGGAUAUGUUUUGAUAAUUUCAACAUACCUUAUGUUUUACCAGUUCAUACAUAUAUGUAUACGUAUACAUAUACAUAUCUAUAUAUAUAUAUAUAUGUAUGUAUAUAUAUAUAUAUAUAUAUAUAUAUAUAUAUAUAUAUAUAUAUAUAUAUAUAUAUAGAGAGAGAGAGAGAGAGAGGGAGGAUAAAGAAUAAAUGGUUUAGCCUAUAAUUGUUAUUGUGAUAACACUGUUACCUUG